rnacentral:rRNA from 1 species
AUUGAACGCUGGCGGCAGGCCUAACACAUGCAAGUCGAGCGGAGCGGCGGACGGGGGAGUAAUGCCUAGGUAUCUGACUGGUACUGGGGGAUAACGUCAGGAAACGGGCGCUAAUACCGAAUACUAUUAGAAGAGGCUAGGUCGGAUUAGCUGGUUGGUGGGGUAAAGGCCUACCAAGGCGACGGUCCGUAACUGGUGUGAGAGGAUGAGCAGUCACACUGGAACUGAGACACGGUCCAGACUCCUACGGGAGGCAGCAGUGGGGAAUAUUGGACAAUGGGCGAAAGCCUGAUCCAGCCAUGCCGCGUGUGUGAAGAAGGUCUUCGGAUUGUAAAGUACUUUAAGUUGGGAGGCGUUACCAACAGAAUAAGCACCGGCUAACUUCGUGCCAGCAGCCGCGGUAAUUC